GACGAACGCUGGCGGCGUGCUUAACACAUGCAAGUCGAACGGAAAGGCCCUGCUUUUGUGGGGUGCUCGAGUGGCGAACGGGUGAGUAACACGUGAGUAACCUGCCCUUGACUUUGGGAUAACUUCAGGAAACUGGGGCUAAUACCGGAUAGGAGCUCCUGCUGCAUGGUGGGGGUUGGAAAGUUUCGGCGGUUGGGGAUGGACUCGCGGCUUAUCAGCUAGUUGGUGGGGUAGUGGCUUACCAAGGCUUUGACGGGUAGCCGGCCUGAGAGGGUGACCGGCCACAUUGGGACUGAGAUACGGCCCAGACUCCUACGGGAGGCAGCAGUGGGGAAUAUUGCACAAUGGGCGGAAGCCUGAUGCAGCAACGCCGCGUGCGGGAUGACGGCCUUCGGGUUGUAAACCGCUUUCGCCUGUGACGAAGCGUGAGUGACGGUAAUGGGUAAAGAAGCACCGGCUAACUACGUG
rnacentral:rRNA from 1 species